rnacentral:rRNA from 1 species
CCCUUAGAUGGCCUGGGCUGCACGCGCGCUACACUGGAAGUUACGGAUUGAGAUACUACCUUGUCCGAAAUGGUCCGGGUAAUCACCUAAAAGCUUGUCAUAAUUGGAAUGGAUUAUUGUAACUAGUAAUCCUGAACGAGGAAUUCCUAGUAAGUCCCAGUCAACAGCUGGUACUGAUUACGUCCCUGCCCUUUGUACACACCGCCCGUCGCUACUACUGAUUGGACGUUUAAGCAAGAUUUUUAAACACUGACAGUGUGUAGUUCACGCUAUACUACAGUGAGAAGAAGAAGAUCGAGCUUACUUGUCUAGAGGAAGUAAAAGUCGUAACA